rnacentral:rRNA from 1 species
UACGAACUGUGCGAACGUUCUUCGGAAUCACUGGGCUUAAAGGGUGCGUAGGCGGCUUGUUAAGUCAGGUGUGAAAUCCCCCGGCUCAACCGGGGAACAGCGCUUGAAACUAGCAGGCUGGAGUGAGGCAGGGGUGUGCGGAACUUCCAGUGGAGCGGUGAAAUGUGUAGAGAUUGGAAGGAACGCCGGCGGCGAAAGCGGCACACUGGGCCUUGGCUGACGAUGAGGCACGAAAGAUAGGGGAGUGAACGGG